rnacentral:rRNA from 1 species
UACAGAGGUCCCAAGCGUUGUUCGGAUUCACUGGGCGUAAAGGGUGCGUAGGUGGUCGGGUAAGUCUGACGUGAAAUCUUCAAGCUCAACUUGGAAACUGCGUCCGAUACUAUUCGGCUAGAGGAAUGGAGGGGAGACUGGAAUACUUGGUGUAGCAGUGAAAUGCGUAGAUAUCAAGUGGAACACCAGUGGCGAAGGCGAGUCUCUGGACAUUUCCUGACGCUGAGGCACGAAAGCCAGGGGAGCAAACGGG